GAUGAACGCUGGCGGCGUGCCUAAUACAUGCAAGUCGAGCGAACGGACGAGAAGCUUGCUUCUCUGAUGUUAGCGGCGGACGGGUGAGUAACACGUGGAUAACCUACCUAUAAGACUGGGAUAACUUCGGGAAACCGUAGCUAAUACCGGAUAAUAUUUUGAACCGCAUGGUUCAAAAGUGAAAGACGGUCUUGCUGUCACUUAUAGAUGGAUCCGCGCUGCAUUAGCUAGUUGGUAAGGUAACGGCUUACCAAGGCAACGAUGCAUAGCCGACCUGAGAGGGUGAUCAGCCACACUGGAACUGAGACACGGUCCAGACUCCUACGGGAGGCAGCAGUAGGGAAUCUUCCGCAAUGGGCGAAAGCCUGACGGAGCAACGCCGCGUGAGUGAUGAGGGUCUUCGGAUCGUAAAACUCUGUUAUUAGGGAAGAACAUAUGUGUAAGUAACUGUGCACAUCUUGACGGUACCUAAUCAGAAAGCCACGGCUAACUACGUG
rnacentral:rRNA from 1 species